GCGGGAUUACAGCUGCUUGGGGAGCUCAACCUGACCCUGUGCUGGGUGACACAGCCGAAAGCGGGUCACUGGGGGGGUGCAUUUACCCCAACAGCCACCACAGGGCUUCGGUGAAUGGGUCAUGGCAUCCCGAACGCCCGGAACGUCCUUGUCACGGAGGAAUUAUCGGCUGUCUACAGAGCCUGAGAAGACAAAACUGACAGGAAUUGUGAGCGAGCGGCUCCAGAGUCAGUAUCUGCACCGGAUCUUCCCGGGUAAGGACGGCGCUCAGCAUGGUGCCACCUACAGGU